rnacentral:rRNA from 1 species
AUUGAACGCUGGCGGCAUGCUUUACACAUGCAAGUCGAACGGUAACAGGUUAAGCUGACGAGUGGCGAACGGAUGAGUAAUGCGUCGGAACGUGCCCGGUCGUGGGGGAUAACGCAGCGAAAGCUGCGCUAAUACCGCAUACGAUCUGAGGAUGAAAGCGGGGGACCGUAAGGCCUCGCGCGAUCGGAGCGGCCGAUGUCAGAUUAGGUAGUUGGUGGGGUAAAGGCUCACCAAGCCAACGAUCUGUAGCUGGUCUGAGAGGACGACCAGCCACACUGGGACUGAGACACGGCCCAGACUCCUACGGGAGGCAGCAGUGGGGAAUUUUGGACAAUGGGCGAAAGCCUGAUCCAGCAAUGCCGCGUGCAGGAAGAAGGCCUUCGGGUUGUAAACUGCUUUUGUACGGAGCGAAAAGGUCUCCUCUAAUACAGGGGGCUCAUGACGGUACCGUAAGAAUAAGCACCGGCUAACUACGUGCCAGCCGCCGCGGUAA